CAGUAGCCACGGGAAUACGUAGGUGACAAGCGUUGUCCGGAAUUAUUGGGCGUAAAGGGCUCGCAGGCGGUCUCUUAAGUCUGAUGUGAAAGCCCCCGGCUCAACCGGGGAGGGUCAUUGGAAACUGGGAAACUUGAGUGCAGAAGAGGAGAGUGGAAUUCCACGUGUAGCGGUGAAAUGCGUAGAGAUGUGGAGGAACACCAGUGGCGAAGGCGACUUUCUGGUCUGUAACUGACGCUGAGGAGCGAAAGCGUGGGGAGCGAACAGGAUUAGAUACCCCCGUAGUCCCUGUCUCUUAUAC
rnacentral:rRNA from 1 species